ACGGAAGGCAGCAGUGGGGAAUAUUGCACAAUGGGGGAAACCCUGAUGCAGCGACGCCGCGUGAGUGAUGAAGUAUUUCGGUAUGUAAAGCUCUAUCAGCAGGGAAGAAAAUGACGGUACCUGACUAAGAAGCCCCGGCUAACUACGUGCCAGCAGCCGCGGUAAUACGUAGGGGGCAAGCGUUAUCCGGAUUUACUGGGUGUAAAGGGAGCGUAGACGGUUGUGCAAGUCUGAAGUGAAAGGCGGGGGCUUAACCCCCGGACUGCUUUGGAAACUGUACGGCUUGAGUACCGGAGGGGUAAGCGGAAUUCCUAGUGUAGCGGUGAAAUGCGUAGAUAUUAGGAGGAACACCGGUGGCGAAGGCGGCUUACUGGACUGUAACUGACGUUGAGGCUCGAAAGCGUGGGGAGCAAACAGGAUUAGAUACCCUGGUA
rnacentral:rRNA from 1 species